rnacentral:rRNA from 1 species
AGAGUUUGAUCAUGGCUCAGAACGUACGCUGGCGGCACGCCUUAUACAUGCAAGUCGAACGAAGUAGCAAUACUUAGUGGCAGACGGGUGAGUAACAUGUAGGUAUCUACCCUUUGGUGAGGAAUAACACGAGGAAACUUGUGCUAAUACCUCAUAAGUCUUUACGGAGAAAGCUUUAUGCGCCGAAGGAUGAGCCUGCACUUGAUUAGUUUGUUGGUGGGGUAAUGGCCUACCAAGACUUUGAUCUAUAGCUGAUCUGAGAGGAUGAUCAGCCACAUUGGGACUGAGACACGGCCCAAACUCCUACGGGAGGCAGCAGUAGGGAAUAUUGCACAAUGGAGGAAACUCUGAUGCAGCGAUGCCGCGUGAGUGAAGAAGGCCUUUGGGUUGUAAAGCUCUUUCGUCGGGGAAGAAAAUGACUGUACCCGAAUAAGAAGGUCCGGCUAACUUCGUGCCAGCAGCCGCGGUAAUACGAAGGGACCUAGCGUAGUUCGGAAUUACUGGGCUUAAAGAGUUCGUAGGUGGUUAAAAAAGUUGGUGGUGAAAUCCCAGAGCUUAACUCUGGAACUGCCAUCAAAACUUUUUAGCUAGAGUAUGAUAGAGGAAAGCAGAAUUUCUAGUGUAGAGGUGAAAUUCGUAGAUAUUAGAAAGAAUACCAAUUGCGAAGGCAGCUUUCUGGAUCAUUACUGACGCUGAGGAACGAAAGCAUGGGUAGCGAAGAGGAUUAGAUACCCUCGUAGUCCAUGCCGUAAACGAUGUGUGUUAGACGUUGGAAAUUUAUUUUCAGUGUCGCAGCGAAAGCGUUAAACACACCGCCUGGGGAGUACGACCGCAAGGUUAAAACUCAAAUGAAUUGACGGGGACCCGCACAAGUAGUGGAGCAU